AAAAAAAAAAAAAAUCCUGCGCACUGCGCAGUAGUGUAUAUAACGUAAAACCUGGAGCCAAGAGAGAAUCCAAACUUUCCAUUUUCAAGCCAAGUUUUCCGCCAGAGACUCGCCGGUGACCUGUCACCGACGAUCCUCCGCAUCAUUUCCCAAAGAUUUUGUUUUAGCUCCCGAGAUUACGUCGAGAAGCAACAACCUAAAUGCAUAGCAUAUAUUCAUCCGUCUUCAUUCAUUUGAUUUGAUCUCAUCGUUCAAAUAUCGGAACCAUCUCUUUUUCCCUUCCCUCUCAUCCCUCAAGUUUCAACGCCCAAGUAUUCACAGAGUCUCCUCGGAUAGAUAGUUGUUUUAAGCUCGUUGUUGGGUGAAUAUUCUGUUCACCAUGUCGGUUGGGGUUCACAAUACCCCAACCAACAUGGUGAAGAGAAGAGUGGUGGGUGAAGAGGAGUAAAAGGGGGUAGAAAUCAAGGAGCAGCGAAGCAACAGCAGAGGAAGAAAGGGGAGGGGAGGGGAAAGGAAAGAAAGUAGCAGUACAAGCGUGGUCUGAAGGGAUGGCAUAGGAGAGUCGCUUUCAAAACGAGAAGAGUAGCCUAGGAGAAGGGUAGCA